GUGAAUCAUCGAAUUUUUGAACGCAAAUUGCGCUUCCUGGGAUCCCGGGGAGUAUUCGUGUGUGAGGGUCAGUAUUAACAAAAAAUCGGCUUGGUUGCAAAUUGUGACGUUUCCGGUGUUUGGGAUUAUCUUAACUUUUUUGGUUAAGGGGCUUAAAAUUGACCUUUUUUGUGAGUUUUUAGACGAA
rnacentral:misc_RNA from 1 species